GAUGAACGCUGGCGGCGUGCCUAAUACAUGCAAGUCGAGCGAACAGAUAAGGAGCUUGCUCCUUUGACGUUAGCGGCGGACGGGUGAGUAACACGUGGAUAACCUACCUAUAAGACUGGGAUAACUUCGGGAAACCGGAGCUAAUACCGGAUAACAUAUUGAACCGCAUGGUUCAAUAGUGAAAGGCGGCUUUGCUGUCACUUAUAGAUGGAUCCGCGCCGUAUUAGCUAGUUGGUAAGGUAACGGCUUUCCAAGGCAACGAUACGUAGCCGACCUGAGAGGGUGAUCGGCCACACUGGAACUGAGACACGGUCCAGACUCCUACGGGAGGCAGCAGUAGGGAAUCUUCCGCAAUGGGCGAAAGCCUGACGGAGCAACGCCGCGUGAGUGAUGAAGGUCUUCGGAUCGUAAAACUCUGUUAUCAGGGAAGAACAAAUGUGUAAGUAACUGUGCACAUCUUGACGGUACCUGAUCAGAAAGCCACGGCUAACUACGUG
rnacentral:rRNA from 1 species